GACAAGAAAAGGGACAGGGAUGGAAAGUUUCUAUCCUUGUCUCUUUUCUGCUAGUAGCUGUUUUACUAAUCUGUAUUUGAACACUGUUUUUCUGUCAUGAGGACCUCUGCCAUCCAUUUUGAGAUUCCUGAUCCUUUUCUAUCUGUUCACUCCACAUUGCCACUGUUACAUUUAUAUCCAAUGAUGGAAUUUUGUGGGGUUGCAAAUGUUCACCAUUUGGUCUCAAAUUGGGGAUGGUCAUUCUCUUAUAUUUCGACAACAAGCAAUAUUUUGGAGCAUUUGAAUAGGUUUCCCCAAGUAGUGCAUGGAUAUGUUGAUUCAAAUUGG
rnacentral:lncRNA from 1 species